rnacentral:rRNA from 1 species
GACGAACGCUGGCGGCGUGCUUAACACAUGCAAGUCGAACGGAAAGGCCCCCAUCUUGGUGGGGGUGCUCGAGUGGCGAACGGGUGAGUAACACGUGGGUGAUCUGCCCUGUACUUCGGGAUAAGCUUGGGAAACUGGGUCUAAUACCGGAUAGGACCAUGGUUUAGUGUCUCAUGGUGGAAAGAUUAUUGUUUUGGUGCAGGAUGAGCUCGCGGCCUAUCAGCUUGUUGGUGGGGUAAUGGCCUACCAAGGCGUCGACGGGUAGCCGGCCUGAGAGGGUGGACGGCCACAUUGGGACUGAGAGACGGCCCAGACUCCUACGGGAGGCAGCAGUGGGGAAUAUUGCACAAUGGGCGCAAGCCUGAUGCAGCGACGCCGCGUGGGGGAUGACGGCCUUCGGGUUGUAAACUCCUUUCGUUAGGGACGAAGCCGCACUUUUUUUGGGUGUGGUGACGGUACCUUUGUGAAGAAGCACCGGCUAACUACGUG